UAAAUAUGGAGACCUGCUAUGCUCAAAGAUGCCCAAUUGUGGACAUCAAUCUGUGGAGAGGUAAAACUGAGGAUGAGAAGGAUCAACAAAGUUCUGUACAACCCGUUUAUGCAGUCACACAACAUUUGUUCACCCUUCUACAUACCCUUCUGGGUUUCAUGCUAAAGAAGAUUAAAGGAACUUGAAGUAACUAGUUCAUCUCAGAUUCCCUUUUCGUCUCUCUGUGUCAUCAUCCUUCUUCUGCAGACCCCACUACUUCUGUCUCAGCCUUUCAUAUUUGAAGGGGGCCUCUGGGCAAAGAACCGCAUCUCAUCUGCAGAAUGAGGAGGGCUAAAGCGCCUCCCAGCCCUCCUGGAUCGCAUAGCAGUUCAGCUGCAUUUUCUUUGCUGGCGAAUUGUCUUGUUUACUUUCCUCACCCCCUGGGAACCCACUGGCCUCUGGAUCUCUUCAAUCAAUACUUUAAAUGGCCCCUUUCCUGAAAGACGAACAAUGAGAUUUUAACUCUA